CGCACCUUGCACCCUCUGGUAUUCCGGAGGGUAUGCCUGUUUGAGUGUCAUUAAAUUCUCAACCUUGCAACUUCAUUGUUGUUCAAGGCUUGGAUGUGAGGGUUAUUGCUGGCUUCCUUCAGUGCGACGGUCAGCUCCCUUUAAAUGUAUUAGUGGAAUCCUUUGUGGAUCGUCACUGAGUGUGAUAACUAUUGUGCUCUGUGUACUCUGAAACAAUUUAAUAUGGAAUCUGCUUAUAACCGUCCUUCAGUUGGACACUUUAACCAAUGACUUGACCUCAAAUCAGGUAGGACUACCCGCUGAACUUAA
rnacentral:misc_RNA from 1 species